rnacentral:lncRNA from 1 species
UUAAAUUGACCUGUUUUUUUUUAAUGUGCAGAAUUUUUCUUUGUUUCAAAUAAAGAAAUACUUUGCAUGAGCAAAAUAAUUUUUUUCCUUUUUCAGUACUACAGCGUAAAUUUCACAAAACAGCCAUCAAAGAAGUAAACCAAGUGACUGUUCAUUCUUUUACAAUCUUGAGUAACCUUGUCACCUCAAAUUUCCAAAACAAUUUUAUAGGAACACUAAAUAAAAAAAAUAGUGCAUUGAAACUUCUGCAAUGAAAUGCAGAUUUAAUUUCCAACAAGUGUCAAAUAUAUUUUGUUCUACCCUUAUUAACAUGAAACCAGAUAUGAAACCAGAUGUGAAACCAGAUGUGACAUACUUUGUUUUGAUGUUUUUAUAUCAUAGCCGUUUGGCCUUUAUAAGGAACAUACACUUAAAAAAGGCUGAACAUUCUUCAGUUGAACUCUUUUUAGUGGCUUAUUAUAAUAAGAAUUUAUUUAUAAAUAUUAUAUUUAUUGACUUCAAUCUGUAGUAAGAUCUUAAAUUUUUGUAAAUUCACAAG